UACAGAGGGGGCAAGCGUUGUUCGGAAUUACUGGGCGUAAAGGGCGCGUAGGCGGCCUGUUAAGUCGAACGUGAAAUCCCCGGGCUCAACCCGGGAACUGCGUCCGAUACUGGCAGGCUUGAAUCCGGGAGAGGGAUGCGGAAUUCCAGGUGUAGCGGUGAAAUGCGUAGAUAUCUGGAGGAACACCUGUGGCGAAAGCGGCUCACUGGACCACAACUGACGCUGAGGAGCGAAAGCUAGGGGAGCAAACAGG
rnacentral:rRNA from 1 species